UAGUAGUGAUCUAGUAGAGAUAUAGUAGUGAUCUAGUAGAUCACUACUAUAUCUCUACUAGAUCACUACUA
rnacentral:pre_miRNA from 1 species